AUUGAACGCUGGCGGCAGGCCUUACACAUGCAAGUCGAGCGAGAAAGCCCUUCGGGGUGAGUAGAGCGGCGGACGGGUGAGUAACGCGUAGGAAUCUACCCAGUAGUGGGGGACAACAUGGGGAAACCCAUGCUAAUACCGCAUACGCCCUUAGGGGGAAAGCGGGGGACCUUCGGGCCUCGCGCUAUUGGAGGAGCCUGCGUUGGAUUAGCUAGUUGGUGAGGUAAAGGCUCACCAAGGCGACGAUCCAUAGCUGGUCUGAGAGGAUGAUCAGCCACACUGGGACUGAGACACGGCCCAGACUCCUACGGGAGGCAGCAGUGGGGAAUAUUGCGCAAUGGAGGCAACUCUGACGCAGCCAUGCCGCGUGUGUGAAGAAGGCCUUAGGGUUGUAAAGCACUUUCAAUUUGGGAGGAAAAGCUUGUCGUUAAUAGCGGCAAGCCGUGACGUUACCUUUAGAAGAAGCACCGGCUAAC
rnacentral:rRNA from 1 species